GAUGAAGAACGCAGCGGAAUGCGAUAAGUAAUGUGAAUUUCAGAAUUCAGUGAAUCAUCGAAUCUUUGAACGCACAUUGCGCCCGCCAGUAUUCUGGCGAGCAUGCCUGUUCGAGCGUCAUUUCAACCAUCAAGCCCCAGGCUUGUGUUGGAGCCCUGCGGCUGCCGCAGCCUCCCAAAACCAGUGGCGGGCUCGCUAUCACACCGAGUGCAGUAGUUUACUCUUCGCUCAGGGCGUGUGGCGGGUGCUAGCCGUGAAACCCCCAACUUCUCAAGGUUGACCUCGGAUCAGGUAGGAAUACCCGCUGAACUUAAGCAUAUCAAUAAGCGGAGGA
rnacentral:misc_RNA from 1 species